rnacentral:rRNA from 1 species
GUCCAGACUCCUACGGGAGGCAGCAGUGAGGAAUAUUGGUCAAUGGGCGCAAGCCUGAACCAGCCAAGUCGCGUGAGGGAUGACGGUCCUAUGGAUUGUAAACCUCUUUUGUCGGGGAGCAAGGCCGCCGACGUGUCGGCGGAAGGAGAGUACCCGUAGAACAAGCAUCGGCUAACUCCGUGCCAGCAGCCGCGGUAAUACGGAGGAUGCGAGCGUUAUCCGGAUUUAUUGGGUUUAAAGGGUGCGCAGGCGGCCCGGCAAGCCGGCGGUCAAAUCGCGGGGCUCAACCCCGCCCAGCCGUCGGAACUGCCGGGCUAGAGUGGGCGAGAAGUGCGCGGAAUGCGUGGUGUAGCGGUGAAAUGCAUAGAUAUCACGCAGAACUCCGAUUGCGAAGGCAGCGCACCGGCGCCCUACUGACGCUCAGGCACGAAAGCGUGGGUAUCGAACAGGAUUAGAUACCCCCGUAGC